UGAACGCUGGCGGCAGGCCUAACACAUGCAAGUCGAACGGAUCCUUCGGGAUUAGUGGCGGACGGGUGAGUAACGCGUGGGAACAUACCCAAAGGUACGGAAUAGCCUCGGGAAACUGAGAGUAAUACCGUAUGUGCCCUUCGGGGGAAAGAUUUAUCGCCUUUGGAUUGGCCCGCGUUGGAUUAGGUAGUUGGUGGGGUAAUGGCCUACCAAGCCGACGAUCCAUAGCUGGUUUGAGAGGAUGAUCAGCCACACUGGGACUGAGACACGGCCCAGACUCC
rnacentral:rRNA from 1 species